GCUGACUCUCUUCGGACUCGGCCCGCCUGCACCCAGGUGAAAUAAACAGCCUUAUUGCUCACACAAAGCCUGUUUGGUGGUCUCUUCACAUGGAUGUGAGUGAAAUUUGGUGCCGUGACUCAGAUCAGCGGACCUCCCUUGGGAAAUCAAUACCCUGUCCUCCUGCUCUUUGCUCUGUGAGAAAGAUCCACCUACAACCUCUGGUCCUCAGACCAACCAGCCCAAGGAACAUCUCACCAAUUUUAAAUCAGAGACAAAGAAGACACGUUUUAUCCGUGGACCCAAUACACCGGCGCUGGCCACAGACUGGGAAGGCAGCCUUCCCUUGGUGUUUAAUCAUUGCAGGGGCAUCUCUCUGAUUAUUCACCCAGGUUUCAGAGGUGCCAGACCAGGAAGGGAUGCCUGCCUUGGUCCUUCACCCUUAGCGGCAAGUCCCGCAUUUCUAGGGGAGGGGCAGGAAACCUGACCUCUUAUCUCUGUGCCCCAAUCCCAUAUUUCCAUGCCCCGACCUCCCUUCUCUGCUUUUCUGGAGGGCAAGAACCCCCCACCCCUUCUCCAUGUCUCUACUCUCUUUUCUCUGGGCUUGCCUCCUUCACUAUGGGCAAGCUUCCACCUUCCAUUCCUCCUUCUUCUCCCUUAGCCUGUGUUCUUAAGAACUUAAAACCUCUUCAACUCUCACCUGGCCUAAAACCUAAGCGUCUUAUUUUCUUCUGCAAUGCUACUUGACCCCAAUACAAACUCGACAGUAGUUCCAAAUAGCCGGAAAAUGGCAAUUUCAAUUUUUCCAUCCUACAAGAUCUAAAUAAUUCUUGUCUUAAAAUAGGCAAACGGUCUGAGGUGCCUGAUGUCCAGGCAUUCUUUCACACAUCGAUCCUUCUCUAGUCUCUGUUCCCAAUGCAACUCAUCCCAAAUCUUCCUUCUUUCCCUCCCACUGGUCCCCUCAGUCCCAACCCCAAGCAUCGCUGAGUCUUUCUAAAUCUUCCUUUUCUACAGACCCAUCUGACCUCUCCCCUCCUCGCCAGGCCGAGCUAGGUCCUAAUUCUUCCUCAGCCUCGGCUCCUCCACCCUAUAAAUCCUUUUAUCACCUCCCCUCCUCAAACCUGGUCUGGCUUACAGUUUCAUUCCAUGACUAGCCCCUCCCCCACCUGCCCAGCAAUUUACUCUUAAAAAGCUGGCUGGAGCUAAAGGCAUAAUCAGGGUUAAUGCUCCUUUUUCUUUAUCCCAAAUCAGAUAGCAUUUAGGCUCUUAUUCAUAAAAUAUAAAAACUCAGCCCAGUUCAUGGCUCGUUUGGCAGCAACCCUGAGAUGCAUUACAGCCCUAGACCCUAAAAGGUCAAAAGGCCGUCUUAUUCUCAAAAUACAUUUUAUUACCCAAUCUGCUCCCGACAUUAAAUAAAACUCCAAAAAUUAAAUUCCAGCCCUCAAACCCCACAACAAGACUUAAUUAACCUCUCCUUCAAGGUGUACAAUAAUAAAGGCAGCCAAGUAGCAACAUAUUUCUGAGUGGAGGCAAUUCCUUGCCUCCACUGUGAGACAAACCCCAGCCACAUCUCCAGCACACAAGAACUUUCAAACGCCUAAACCGCAGUGGCCAGGCAUUCCUCCAGAAACGCCUCCCCCAGGAGCUUGCUACAAGUGCCAGAAAUCUGGCCACCAGGCCAAGGAAUGCCUGCAGCCUGGGAUUCCUCCUAAGCCGUGUCCCAUCUGUGCGGGACCCCACUGGAAAUCGGACGUUCAACUCACCUGGCAGCCACUCCCAGAGCCCGUGGAACUCUGGCCCAAGGCUCUCUGACUGACUCCUUCCAAGAUCUUCUCAGCUUAGCGGCUGAAGACUGACGCUGCCCAAUCGCCUCGGAAGCCCCGGAGACCAUCACGGACGCCAAGCUUUAGGUAACUCUCACAGUGGAGGGUAAGUCCAUCCCCUUCUUAAUCAAUACAGAGGCUACCCACUCCCCAUUACCUUCUUUUCAAGGGCCUGUUUCCCUUGCCUCCAUAACUGUUGUGGGUAUUGACGGCCAGGCUUCUAAACCUCUUAAAACUCCCCAACUCUGGUGCCAACUUAGACAAUACUCUUUUAAGCACUCCUUUUUAGUUAUCCCCACCUGCCCAGUUCCCUUAUUAGGCUGAGACACUUUUACUAAAUUAUCUGCUUCCCUGACUAUUCCUGGACUACAGCUACAUCUCGUUGCCACCCUUCUUCCCAAUCCAAAGCCUCCUUUGCGUCCUCCUCUUGCAUCCCUCCACCUUAAACCACAAGUAUAAGAUACCUCUACUCCCUCCUUGGUGACCGAUCAUGCACCCCUUACCAUCUCAUUAAAACCUAAUCACCCUUACACGGCUCAGUGCCAAGAUCCCAUCCCACACCAUGCUUUGAAAGGAUUAAAGCCUGUUAUCACUUGCCUGCUACAGCAUGGCCUUUUAAAGCCUAUAAACUCUCCUUACAAUUCCCCCAUUUUACCUGUCCUAAAACCAGACAAGCCUUAUAAGUUAGUUCAGGAUCUAUGCCUUAUCAACCAAAUUGUUUUUCCUAUCCACCCCGUGGUGCCAAACCCAUAUACUCUCCUAUCCUCAAUACCUCCCUCCACAAUCCAUUCUCUUCUGGAUCUCAAACAUGCUUUCUUUACUAUUCCUUUGCACCCUUCAUCCCAGCCUCUCUUUGCUUUCACCUGGACUGACCCUGACACCCAUCAAACUCAGCAAAUUACCUGGGCUGUACUGCCGCAAAGCUUCACAGACAGCCCCCAUUAUUUCAGUCAAGCCCAAAUUUCUUCCUUAUCCGUUACCUAUCUCGGCAUAAUUCUCAUAAAAACACAUGUGCUCUCCCUGCUGAUUGUGUCUGGCUAAUCUCCCAAACCCCAAUCCCUUCUACAAAACAACAACUCCUUUCCUUCCUGGGCAUGGUUGGAUACUUUUGCCUUUGGAUACCUGGUUUUGCCAUCCUAACAAAACCAUUAUAUAAACUCACAAAAGGAAACCUAGCUGACCCCAUAGAUCCUAAAUCUUUUCCCCACUCCUCUUUCCAUUCCUUGAAGACAGCUUUAGAGACUGCCCCCACCCUAGCUCUCCCUGACUCAUUGCAACCCUUUUCAUUACACACAGCCAAAGUGCAGGGCUGUGCAGUUGGAAUUGUUACACAAGGACCGGGAUCGCAUCCUGUAGCCUUUUUGUCCAAACAACUUGACCUUACUGUUUUAGGCUGGCCAUCAUGUCUCCGUGCAGUGGCUGCUGCCACCCUAAUACUUUUAGAGGCCCUUAAAAUCAGAAACUAUGCUCAACUCACUGUCUACAGCUCUCAUAAUUUCCAAAAUCUAUUUUCUUCCUCACACCUGAUGCAUAUACUUUCUGCUCCCCCAGCUUCUUCAGCUGUACUCACUCUGUGUUGAGUCUCCCACAAUUACCAUUGUUCCUGGCCCGGGCUUCAAUCAGGUCUCGCACAUUAUUCCUGAUACCACACCUGACCCUCAUGACUGUAUCUCUCUGAUCCACCUGAUGUUCAUCCCAUUUCCCCACAUUUCCUUCUUCCCUGUUUCUCACCCUGAUCACACUUGGUUUAUUGAUGGCAGUUCCACCAGGCCUAAUCACCACACACCAGCAAAGGCAGGCUAUGCUAUAGUACAAGCCAUUAGCCCACCUCUUAGAACUUCUCAUUUCCUUUCCAUCAUGGAACUCUAUCCUCAAGGAAAUAACUUCUCAGUGUUCCAUCUGCUAUGCUACUACUCCUCAGGGAUUAUUCAGGCCCCCCUCCCUUCCCUACACAUCAAGCUCAGGGAUUUGCCCCCACCGAGGACUGGCAAAUUAGCUUUACUCAACAUGCCCCGAGUCAGGAAACUAAAAUACCUCUUAGUCUAGGUAGACACUUUCACUGGAUAGGUAGAGGCCUUUCCAACAGGAUCUAAGAAGGCCACCAUGGUCAUUUCUUCCCUUCUGUCAGACACAAUUACUCGGUUUGACCUUCCCACCUCUACACAGUUUGAUAGUAGACUGGGCUUUAUUAGUCAAAUCAGCCAAGCAGUUUUUCAGGCUCUUGGUAUUCAGUGAAAUCUUUAUAUCCCUUACAGUCCUCAGUCUUCAGGAAAGGUAGAGUGGACUAAUGGUCUUUUAAAAACAUACCUCACCAAGCUCAGCCACCAACUUAAAAAGGACUGGACAAUAUUUUUACCUCUUUCUUGUCUCAGAAUUCAGGCCUGUCCUCGGAAUGCUACAGGGUACAGCCCAUUUGAGCUCCUGUAUGGACGCUCCUUUUUAUUAAUCCCCAGUCUCAUUCCAGACACCAGACCAACUUAGACUGUGCCCCAGAAAACUUGUCAUCCCUUCUAUCUUCUGUCUAGUCAUACUUCUAUUCACCGUUCUCAACUACUCAUACAUGCCCUGCUCUUGUUUACACUGCCGGUUUACACUGUUUCUCCAAGCCAUCACAGCGGAUAUCUCCUGGUGCUAUCCCCAAACUGCCACUCUUAAUUCUUGAAGUAAAUAAAUAAUCUUUGCUGGCAGAACUAUGCUGAAUCUCCUUAGGCACUCUAAUUAGAUGUCCUGGGUCGUCUCAAUUCUUAGACUUUUAAUACCUGUUUUUCUCCUUCUCUUAUUCCAUUUAGUUUUUCAAUUCAUAUGAAACCGUAUCCAGGCCAUCACCAAUAAUUCUAAAUGACAAAUGUUCCUUCUAACAACAUCACAAUAUCACCCCUUACCACAAAAUCUUCCUUCAGCUUAAUCUCUCCCACUCUAGGUUCCCAUGCCGCCCCUAAUCCGGGUCAAAGCAGCCCUGAGAAACAUCGCCCAUUAUCUCUUCAUACCAUCCCCC
rnacentral:lncRNA from 1 species